ensembl:lncRNA
CUCGGGGACUUUUGCUGUGGAGGGGGAUCGCGCUUCUCCCCCCCUUCCUCCUCCUCUCCAUCCCUCCCUCCCGAUGACGUCAUGGAUGACCACGGUGGUGACAGGGCCACCUGUGGGCUGGUGAGGGGUUUAAAGAGACAGUCUGCAGCUGCAACAGGAGCCCUGGCUAUUGUCUGCGCACCUGGGAGUGGGGGGACCUGCAGCCCCCUGACCACCCAUCCAUCCACCCAUCCACCCAUCCCUCCAUCCACCCAUCCCUCCAUCCACCCAUUCAUCGAUCCCAUCCUACCGCAUCCCAUCCACCCAUCCCAUCCCGCUGCAUCCCACCUGUCCCCGCAUCCCGUACUGCUCCCGCGGUACCGGGGCUUUCCAAGCCGGUCCGUGCCCAUGCCAGUGCCGACCUCCCACCACCGCAGCGGAUCCCCCAAGGCCUCCCCACGCUCCCUGGGAGAGGGUGGUAUGGAGCUCGCUCAUUGCUGGGCUGCUCUCCUUCUCCAGGGCUGUUACUCUGUGCCCAAGGCAGGGGUUGAGGCUGCCCGCCCAAAGAGCAGGACACGGUGCGGAACAGCAGCUGUGGCACAGAACAUCUCCCAUUGCAUGGCCAACGCCAUCUCCAGACACAAUAUCUCAUGUCGGGAGCAGCUCCUGCACCCAAACCACCAGGGAUAGGGCUGACCCUGAUGUAGAUCCUUCAGUUCAGACCCUUAGGACGUUUUCCCGGUGGGAUGCUCCAAAGGCAAUCCAAACGCACGUAGCCCCCUCCCAGCCAAAACAUGCUUGUCUCUAAUAGCGAUGCUGAUUUGGAUGCACCAGAUCUUGUCCCUGCUCUCUUCUCCUCCCCACCUAGCACAAGGGACUGGGCUAAACCUGGGGACUUCGGGGAUGCCACAGAGCAUCCCCCACCUCCUCCCCAGCCCCAGGCCAUCUGCCCACACUCAUCCAUGUUAAACAAACGCCGGAGUCUAUUAUCGAGCCCUGCCUCCCCCUUCCCCCCCAGACAGAUGGAGGCUGAGUGCACCCGGAGCCCCGGCCCGCAGCAUUCAUGUGUGUGAAUGAGAAAAUUGAAUUAUUUAUGGCCAUGCGAAUAAGGCUGGCGGCUGCGGAGGCCGAGCGGAAAGGACUCCAUUACGCGGCGAGUACCUGUUGCUAUGGAGCUGGGGCUUCUUCUCCUCCAGCACUGCCUGCAUCCCUGCCUUGUCCCCAUCCCUGCCUUGUCCCCAUCCCUGCCUUGUCCCCAUCCCUGCCUUGUCCCCAUCCCUGCUCCUGUCCCCGGGGUUGUCCCCAUGGAUGAUGGUUGGAGCGCGUGUGACCAGCUGUGUGCAUCGUGUCCACGGAGUCAUCCCGCAUCACCCCACAUUUCAGAGCACGAUGCCCGGGGUGAUGUAGGUGUGAUGCUGGGGGAUGACACGAUGCUGGCAGUGGUCCCCCAGGUGCCAUGGGCUGCAGCACACGUUGAAAUCACUGGGGAGGGUCGGGAUGGACAAAAACAUCUCAUGGCUGCGUCUGGGCAGAGGGGUGACUCUCAGAGAGGGCUGUGCAAAACUCCCCUUAAAUCUCCCUUCCUGGGGGCAAAGGCAGCUGUGGGCUGAGCUCCUCUGAUUCCCUCCGUGCCCAUUUCAGUGGGAAGAAAAGCAGCUUUGCACGAGCACCCUCUGAAAGCCGCCUGCAUUGCAGCCAUUUCUUGGGGAUGCCGAAUCCUGCAGCGAUGCUGAGAGUUGUGCUGGGGUAUCCCCGCUCCUGCUUGCUUCCCAAAUCCUCCUCGGCCAAACAUCAACACCCUAUGGACCUCAGUGCCUCCCUGGGGCCAGGCCAGGCUCUGGGGAUAGGAUGGUGUUGAAACGGUGGUCCCCGCUCCGUGCAGAGACUCCCUCCCCCUCCCAGCUCUGCGAGGCUCUGCAGGGCUAAGAAUAGACUCCAGCUCCGCUCCUGGGGCUGAGUGGGCUCUGCCGGGCUCAGAGGAAUAAAAAGCAGGGAAACGCUUAUUUUAGUCGCUGCAGUCAGCAGCUGUGACUCUGCUAUACACAGGGAGCAGCUCUGUACCGUGUUUACCCAACCGCUGCUGGGAGACACCCUAGUGGAGCACGCACCCUACCCUGGGCCAAAUGGAUGGCCAAAAUCCCGGCCAGCUCCCAGCCUUCCCUUGCAAUGCUCCUUCCCUUUGUGUCCCCUUCCAUCCUCCUCCUUCCUUCCUUCUCCCAUGCUCAGGGGGUGUUUUUCCCCAUCUCCUAACAUUCAGCUCCUGCAGCGGUUGGUGGAACCCCGCGGAGAUGUUUAGAACUUGUGUAGGACAUGCCCAUGGCACCCGAGACAGAUGGAUGGCCAUGCGUCCAAGCGAGGGACACAGCUAGGAUGCUCCAGUGUGGGGCUGGGGGCAGCUCCCACUGCAGGAGAGCAGCCACGGGUCUGCCUCGCACCCAUCACCCGAGGGAAAAGCAAGAGAAAGCUAAUUGUUACCAUGGCUACACCAAGUGGCCUUUCUGCGGGAGCCACGUCAUUGCUGCUGUCACAAGGUUAAGGCG